ACCUUUGCCUGCUCAGUCAGCCAGAAGCGGCGCCUUCCGUUGCCCAAGAGCAGCCUCCCUCCCUGUUCAUCUGCAGGAAGAGCGCGGCUUCUGAGAUGUUCUCACUCUGACUCAGGCAGCGUCUGCUUCUGCUGCCUCUGUCCUCCUCCCUGGUGAACUAGUGUUCUACAACACUCUGCAGGUGGUACCUGGGGCAUGAAGGGGGCGGGGUAUUUUCAGAGUCCCUCAGCCCACAGUGACACAUGCCGACCUGACCCCAUGUACCCCGGGCUGUAUUCCUGAGUCGGGAAGGGGUGGUUCGCACAGAUGCUAGGCUGCCCUUUGUCUGUGAUGAACAACUGACCUUGCCUAUCAUUCGUGUGCACUCUGUCUCACCACGCUCCCUGAGUUCACUUCCUGCAGCCUGAGGUCUGUCUCACCACGCUCCCUGAGUUCACUUCCUGCAGCCUGAGGUCUGUCUCACCACGCUCCCUGAGUUCACUUCCUGCAGCCUGAGGUCUGUCUCACCACGCUCCCUGAGUUCACUUCCUGCAGCCUGAGGUCUGUCUCACCACGCUCCCUAUGUUAUUCCUGCAGCCUGAGGUCUGUCUCACCACGCUCCCUGAGUUCACUUCCUGCAGCCCGAGGUCUGUCUCACCAUGCUCCCUGUGUUAUUCCUGCAGCCUGAGGUCUGUCUCACCACGCUCCAUGUGUUAUUCCUGCAGCCCGAGGUCUGUCUCACCAUGCUCCCUGUGUUAUUCCUGCAGCCUGAGGUCUGUCUCACCACGCUCCAUGUGUUAUUUCUGCAGCCUGAGGUCUGUCUCACCAUGCUCCCUGAGUUCACUUCCUGCAGCCUGAGGGCCCCGGCUUCUCAAAGUCAUGGCUUUCCUGUUCCUGUCACUCUCUGACAUUUGGUGAGGUUUCAAAAGCGAUGAAGCUGGACCAUGAUGCCAAGGGGUGGCCGCUGGGCUCCGCUCCUUCCCUGGGUCAAGUGGCCUUGGGUGACCAAGCUGAUGAGGUGUUUCACAUUUGGACUUAGGAGCAACACUGACACCAUGUGCUGUGUGCAUCCCAGCAGGAGACCGCUUCGAGUCAAAGGGACAAAUGCACGCACCAGCAUGAACAAAACCCAAAACCGUUACAGAGAGGAGAGAAGCCAGACCCCAAGCCGUGCAUACUGAGCGAGACCGCUUCGCUGAACUCUAGGGAAUGAAGUCGGCUACAGUGUGACAAGAGCAGAACAGUGGUUGCUGGGAGAGCCAGGUCACAGGAGAACCCGGCCAUCGAGGACACAGGAGAACCGGGCCAUCAAGGACACAGCCUCGUGGAGGGAGCAUCAAUGCGUGGGCUCAUUCUGCGAUGGGAGAGGCACCAUUGAGAGGUGUGGUCGUGUGGGAGGAAGUGUGCCACUGUGGAGGUGAGUCUGAGGCCCCACAUGCUCAAGCUACACCCCGUGUGGCACACAGUCUCUCCCUGCUGCCUGCAGAUC